rnacentral:rRNA from 1 species
CGCGGCCUAUCAGCUUGUUGGUGAGGUAACGGCUCACCAAGGCAUCGACGGGUAGCUGGUCUGAGAGGACGAUCAGCCACACUGGGACUGAGACACGGCCCAGACUCCUACGGGAGGCAGCAGUAGGGAAUCUUGCGCAAUGGGCGAAAGCCUGACGCAGCAACGCCGCGUGGGGGAUGAAUGCCUUCGGGUUGUAAACCCCUUUCAGCAGGGACGAAAAUGACGGUACCUGCAGAAGAAGCUCCGGCCAACUACGUGCCAGCAGCCGCGGUAAUACGCAGGGAGCGAGCGUUGUCCGGAAUUAUUGGGCGUAAAGAGCUCGUAGGCGGUUCAGUAAGUCGGGUGUGAAAACUCAAGGCUCAACCUUGAGACGCCACUCGAUACUGCUGUGACUUGAGUCCGGUAGAGGAGUGUGGAAUUCCUGGUGUAGCGGUGAAAUGCGCAGAUAUCAGGAGGAACACCAGCGGCGAAGGCGGCACUCUGGGCCGGCACUGACGCUGAGGAGCGAAAGCAUGGGGAGCAAACAGGAUUAGAUACCCUGGUAGUCCAUGCCGUAAACGUUGGGCACUAGGUAUGGGAUCAUAUCAACGGAUUCCGUGCCGUAGCUAACGCAUUAAGUGCCCCGCCUGGGGAGUACGG